rnacentral:rRNA from 1 species
UGGGGAAUUUUGGACAAUGGGGGAAACCCUGAUCCAGCCAUCCCGCGUGUGCGAUGAAGGCCUUCGGGUUGUAAAGCACUUUUGGCAGGAAAGAAACGUCAUGGGUUAAUACCCCGUGAAACUGACGGUACCUGCAGAAUAAGCACCGGCUAACUACGUGCCAGCAGCCGCGGUAAUACGUAGGGUGCAAGCGUUAAUCGGAAUUACUGGGCGUAAAGCGUGCGCAGGCGGUUCGGAAAGAAAGAUGUGAAAUCCCAGAGCUCAACUUUGGAACUGCAUUUUUAACUACCGGGCUAGGGUGUGUCAGAGGGAGGUGGAAUUCCGCGUGUAGCAGUGAAAUGCGUAGAUGUGCGGAGGAACACCGAUGGCGAAGGCAGCCUCCUGGGAUAACACUGACGCUCAUGCACGAAAGCGUGGGGAGCAAACAGG